UAUUAACAGAUGCCCUGCUUCAUGAAUGAGGAUACGGUGUCUAUUUGGAGGCCAAUAACUUGAGAGUUAGAGCUAAACAGGUACCACCAAGGAAGAUAGAAUCCGCAAACGCUAGCCCCAAUACUGCUGUAAGGUUAGGCCUGAGAUCGAUGCCUUAAGAAAGAAGAAAAGAUAGUCCCCCAAGAAAGGCAAUCAAAACGGGGCAAGAACUUUCGGAAAGACCCCACUUUUUUGGAGCAAGUUUCGAUGCUGGAUAAGGUAACGUAGAAAUGGCUUAAAUCAGAACUAGGCUCAUGAAGACCAUAUAUCAUAAUAAGAACAUAAAAGAGUCCAAUGCAGAACAUUUCAGUAUAACAUCGCUUAUAUGAUAGGGGAAGGGUGUGAAUCUCUAACAAUUACUAAUCUACAUCAAAAUCCAUUGUGAAAGGAAUCAGAAUAAGCACCUUCUAAACCGGUUGAAGUCUUCAACACUGUUGGUGUAACAUUGCGUGUUCCCUCCAAAACUACAAGGAGGAAAAGAACAAAAACAUAGAGAAAACAACAUGAGAUACAGCAAUGAUCUAAAAGUUCAAAUGCUUCCCUUACCUAGACUCGGUACGCCAGUAACACAACUUUGGCGAUAUCCAAACCAAUAACACAACGUCAUGAUUAAAUUUCUCACAUGAUAGUAUCAUUACUUAACGAAAAGCCUGCAGUACUGUUCACUUUAACGAAAAAUCACAUUUUUAUUCAUUAGUUUUCCUUUUCUUUAUAGGAUAUAUAAAGUACAUGUCGGUGGAGAAAUUUUAUACGGCGUAUUUGAUGCAUAAUGUGAGAUGCUGAUCCAUUGUGGUCUAAGCUUCUUUUGCACUGCAUCUGAACAUCCGUUGUGGUCUUCUCUCUUUCAUCACCUGCCCAGAACAUUGGGUGGUCCUCAGAGAUCCUCACAUGCACUUCUUCAAACUUCCAUGUAAAUCGGUUAAGGAUAAUACUUAGGUACUCAAUACUGACUACCUCAUAAACUCACUUUUUAAUUUGACUCAAUUAAAAGAUGUCGCAUGCUUUUGUUUUGGAGCCCAAGAAAAAUGUCUUUUUUUUUUAAAUAAUAAAAUAUGUGUUAAAACAUCAUUGAACCAAAAUAAAAAAGCAAGUACCUAAGUAUUAUUCAUUGGGUAAUACCUGUAGUAUUAAUUAAUGUUGCAACUUUCCAGACUCGGAAGAGAAAAUUAUCAAGCUUCUAAACAGCUUUUGUUCCCAAAAAGGCAAAAGAAGAAGAAAUUUCAAGUAAAUUAAUUAUGGAAUAACUUUUGAUUCCUAUCCUUGGAUUUGGAAUCAUCGUAAAGAUACAGGAUGGGGGCUAUGUUGGGACGAGAUUGAACGUAUCAAUAUACAUUUCCUUUCCGUCAACUAAAGUAUGUUCCUUUCCCUCAUACAAAUUAAAUAGCAAUAACGGCAAGACACCUUAAAAGCAAUAACUAGUUUCGUCGAUAAAUAAAUUCAACAAACACGGGGCUGCCAUCAAAUGGAAGAGGAGAAAAGGAUUAUGCACUACAGCAGCUCUCAGAAGAUAUUGUUAGUAGGUGAGGGCAACUUUUCUUUUGCUGCUUCCUUAGCCACUGCAUUUGGCUCUGCAAACAACAUUGUCGCCACUUCUCUCGACUCCAAAGGUAUUACGGGUGAUAAUCUAUUUCGUUUUUGCUACAUUGCACCGAGAAUUCGCAAUAUUGAUAUCAAAAACCGUUUCAGAGUAGGUUCAACGAUCAGAACCAUUUAGUUUUAGAUUUUCUUUACAGGAUUAUCCCUGCAACUGCCAAAUAACGAUCAAAUUGACGAUCUUUUAGUUGUUCGAUUGUCUUCGUUUUCAUUUCAACUUUAUCUUAACGAACCAUGGUGUUUUCCACAUUUUAGAUGAUCAAACAUUUUAUAUAAAAUAUAAACUGUUUCAAUCGUCAACAUGCAUUCUAGGGUAGGCAACAAAAAAGAAACAAUGUCCUUUAACUUAUAUAUUGAUAUUUGUAUGUAUAUAUAUGUAUGUUUAUACCAAUUUCUUGACUAAAAUCCCUUCCAUACUACUUGUAGAGUCGUUUAUGGGGAAGUACCCAGAUGCAGUGAGGACAUUGAAGACGCUAAAGGGAAUGGGAUGUGUAGUAUUGCAUCAAGUGGAUGUGGAUACCAUGAGCCAACACCCUCGGCUAGCUGAUCAACUAUUUGAUCGAAUCGUCUUUAAUUUCCCUCACGCGGGCUUCUUCGGAUGGGAACACCAGAGGUUUCAAAUUGAGUAAGUUUUAAUACAGAGCAAUUCUACAUGAAUCAAAUGUAAAGUGAUGCGUUGGAACGAUGCAUUUUCCAGGUUGCACCAAGAUCUGGUCAAGCGGUUCUUCGCAGCUGCGUCUGAAAUGCUGACGGGAAGAGGAGAAGUUCAUGUGACACACAAGACCGGUAAUCCUUUCAGCAGAUGGAACAUAGUGAAGUUAGCAGAAGAGGUAGGGUUAUAUCUGGUUGAGGAAGCACCUUUCAAGCGAGCGGAUUAUCCAGGUUAUCUCAAUAAGAAAGGAAGUGGGAGAAAAUGCAACCGGACAUUUCGUGUUGGACAGUGUAGUACCUACAAAUUUGCCAAGCUACCACUUCGACUUCUGGUUCUUGAUUCACCUUAUUGAAUUCUUGAACUGAUUUCGUUCUCGCCUCUGUUCUUCAACAUGUAAACUAUUAUCUUAUUGUUUAAACUUUGGUAUGGAGUAACACAGCAACAAGUCAGCAAGUCAAUUCGAUCAUUUGUCUAUGAAAUUUUCAUUUAUCUCGGCAUCUUCCUUCUCGGAAUAUCCACCUAGUUGUUGGAAGACAAUUCUCUGUGUCCACCGUAGAUUCGAAUUGUUCGGCGAGGAAUAGCCUAGUGUCACCUCAAAUGACUGCAUUUCGGAGGCCUUUCUUACACCAAUUAUAUGUUCAAUCUCUUGUGCUCCGCCCUGUCAAAUAGAAAAACACAGAAAAUAAGUUAAUCUAGGAAUGAAUAGCACACAAUUGAAACAAACCAAAUAGGACGGACCAGAAUUUACCUCGUCACCAAUGUGGGAAGAAGCCAUUUUUCGUGAAGUUACUUCCGCUCACGUAUUUGUUGACAUUGCUUCCUCAAUACUCCUAAUUACAACACUAAGACCACUUCGGCUUUCUAAAGCUUUAACCGCAGCUCGGUGUGCAUUUUUAUGCCAUUUUAGCAUAUUGUAAGCUUGUAAAAGGGACCACCUUGCUUGGUUUGACAUCUUCUCAAGAUAACAACGAAAAAAAGGUGUGAAAAUCUUAGUACUUUAAGUUAACGGAAAUCACAGAACUACAAAUUUUCGGUUAUAGAGAGUACCUCGGGAACAGACAGUGGGGGUUCUAGAAGAACACAGAUGCCCCUAAAUAGAUUUUCAUCAUUUUCUCCACCCUCUGCCUCACCAUAAAUAAGAGCUUCAGCAGCAAUGCCUGCGAAAAGCACCAUGCAGUACCUGAACGCAUAAUGUGAAGAAAUUAGCAAAUGCUUGGCAUGUUAUUACUCUUAAGUCCACAAUACAUAAUCAAAAGAUCUAAAAUGCAGAGGCAAACUAGGGAAACCUUGGACAUUUUACAUAAGCUUAAGGAAAAAUAAUCUGUAGUUCACUUCCAACAUAUAUAUUCAAGGAAAGUAGCAACGUCACCCCAAAGAAUUUUUUUGUUUUCGUUCAGGUUUUGGAAACCAAAUGAGCUUAUUCAUGACACCUACUUGCAAUUUCAUUUCAUACCCACCUGUCAAAAGCAGUGCCAUCAAGUCGUCCUUCAGCAAGGUCAUUGGCCAUUUUCUCAUCCCAAAAUUGAGUUCCAGCCUGUAAAAUAGUAGUCGGUAUGAUCUUAACUUUUCAUCCUAACAGCAGUACAUUGCAAUGAAGGACGACAAGUCAUACGCUAUAAUCACUACAUAUCAAUAAUGAAAAAUGUAGUGAUCAUUAUGUCCUUAAACAAGGUCAAAACUCUAUACAUUGCAGCCCAAAAAAAUGUAUUAGAGACUGACUUUGUAAGAAAACCAAGCUAGCACAAAGAAAUCUACUGUCCUCUGAGUUUCAUAAGAUUAUACAAGUACAUAAACCUGGGCGGCACCUACGCUAAUUCAGUAAUUCUACUCAAAUGCAAGUCACAUUAAUAAAAUGUUACACUUAAAUAUUCAAUGACAAGAUAAAAAAUUUGCAAUAGAUACAUGAUUGCUCUGAAAAGACGUCACAUAUGACGUACCGUCAAUCCAGUAUAGUAAAAAAUAUGCAGGAAUCACAUUCAUAUCCUAAAUCCGUUUAGUAGUAACUUCAUAUAGGUUUAGAAACGCGUAAUGAUGGCAAGAUUUCACUGUUGAAAGCACAGCAAACAAAACCAAACCAGAUCUCGUAUAAAGCCAACAGAGGAAAGAAAUUACCUGCCCUUGAAUGCCCAUUUGCAUUGCAACAAUUGGGUCCAAUAUCACCCCACGAAUUGGGCAACCCAUCAGAUAAGCUGCAAUUUAAUACGGGGAACCAGUUAACUGCACAGGGUUUACACUCUUGCGAGGAUGUCACUUUAGUAAAGGUGGUUGAAGAUUUAAGAAAUGGUUCAUGCCCUUGGUCAAAUCCACAGCAUCAUUCAAUUUUGUAGCAUCCAAUACUAAAAUAUGGACCAGGAAAAAGUGUGUUUACCUAUUAACAGAUGCCCUGCUUCAUGAAUGAGGAUACGGCGUCUAUUUGGAGGCCAAUAACUUGAGAGUUGAGCUAAACAGGUACCACCAAGGAAGAUAGAAUCCGCAAACGCAAGCCCCAAUACUGCUGUAAGGUUAGGCCUGAGAUCGAUGCCUUGAGAAAGAAGAAAAGAUAGUCCUCCAAGAAAGGCAAUCAAAAUGGGGCCAGAACUUUCGGAAAGACCCCACUUUUUUGG
rnacentral:lncRNA from 1 species